rnacentral:rRNA from 1 species
UACGUAGGGUGCAAGCGUUGUCCGGAAUUAUUGGGCGUAAAGGGCUCGUAGGCGGUCCAUCGCGUCGGGUGUGAAAAGCUGGGGCUUAACCCCAGUCCUGCUUCCGAUACGGGUGGACUAGAGGUAGGUAGGGGAGAUCGGAAUUCCUGGUGUAGCGGUGAAAUGCGCAGAUAUCAGGAGGAACACCGGUGGCGAAGGCGGAUCUCUGGGCCUUACCUGACGCUGAGGAGCGAAAGCGUGGGGAGCGAACAGG